rnacentral:rRNA from 1 species
AGUGCGGAUCUACCAUGCAGUCGAGCGAUCUCUUCGGAGAGAGCGGCGGACGGGUGAGUAACGCGUGGGUAACCUGCCCUGUACACACGGAUAACAUACCGAAAGGUAUACUAAUACGGGAUAACAUACGAAAGUCGCAUGGCUUUUGUAUCAAAGCUCCGGCGGUACAGGAUGGACCCGCGUCUGAUUAGCUAGUUGGUAAGGUAAUGGCUUACCAAGGCAACGAUCAGUAGCCGACCUGAGAGGGUGAUCGGCCACACUGGAACUGAAACACGGUCCAGACUCCUACGGGAGGCAGCAGAAACA